CAUAUGAUGAUGAAACACCGGAUCUCUUCCGAUCACCGAAGUUAAGCAACGUUGAGCCUGAUCAGUACCUAGAUGAAUGACCACUUGGGAAUACCAGGUGCU